GACGUAGGGCGCGAGCGUUGUCCGGAUUUAUUGGGCGUAAAGAGCUCGUAGGCGGCUUGUCGCGUCGUCCGUGAAAACCCACAGCUCAACUGUGGGCUUGCGGUCGAUACGGGCAGGCUAGAGUUCGGUAGGGGAGACUGGAAUUCCUGGUGUAGCGGUGAAAUGCGUAGAUAUCAGGAGGAAUACCGGUGGCGAAAGCGACUCUCUGGACGGCAACUGACGCUGAGGCACGAAAGCGUGGGGAGCAAACAGG
rnacentral:rRNA from 1 species